UGCAAACUGCGAAUACCGGAGAAUGUUAUCACGGGAGACACACGGCGGGUGCUAACGUCCGUCGUGAAGAGGGAAACAACCCAGACCGCCAGCUAAGGUCCCAAAGUCAUGGUUAAGUGGGAAACGAUGUGGGAAGGCCCAGACAGCCAGGAUGUUGGCUUAGAAGCAGCCAUCAUUUAAAGAAAGCGUAAUAGCUCACUGGUCGAGUCGGCCUGCGCGGAAGAUGUAACGGGGCUAAACCAU
rnacentral:rRNA from 2 species